AGAUUUCUUUCACUGUCAUAAUUUUCUCACUGCUAUAACAUUUGCAAAGGCAGUUUCAGAAGAGGACAACCUUCCCCAAGAUAGGAGGACUGUUCUUUGGUCAAGGGUAUACAAGUAGCUGCGCUCCCCUGCUAGAACCUCCAAACAAGCUCUCAAGGUCCAUUUGUAGGCAAAUGUAGUCAAGCUUCCAAGACUCCAGACACAUCCAAAUGAGGUGUUGCAUGUGGCAGUCUGCCUUUCUUA
rnacentral:snRNA from 1 species